UUUUCUCCCACUCAAACACUCACUUCCUGGGACUCAAAGAAAGUGCAGCUGAAUUCGAUGGCUUUUAGCUGGGGACUGGCUAGAUCAGUGGAAAUCACAACCAAGUUCUCCCACUGCCUUUCUAUCCAACAGCACUGUGGAUCACCCGCAGACAAGGAUGGAAUCACCAAAAAGUAUAAUCAUUAGGUCACUAGAUGUGCACGUUGGCAAUUUUCGAAAAUAUUGCCAGAGAGAUUGAAAUAAUUCACCACUGCCCCUCCUCCAGCUUCUCCUGGGCAUGCCACAUACACUGUGGGAAGGGGAAAGGCUGACCUAGAACACCUUCAAGUGGAUGCUACAACUCUGUCAUAAAGAGGAAGCCAUCAGGUUCUUGGAUAAUUGCUGAAUGGAACUAAGGGAAAUGAGAGGAGAGAAGCAUCUCAGAGCAUGUUUGGACUUGCUGCAUGCCUUGGACCCUGCUACACACUGAUAACUGAAUAUUGAGCCCUUGAGCUGAUAAACAAGGGUCUUUGACUCGAGAGUGUUUUGCCAUCCUGUUUGCAAGCUUUGUGUUUGUUUCCUUUCCUCCAAGAGUACAUUUUCUUACUCCUCAUAUGGCCCCAAACCACACAUUGAGAACUAUGGCCUAGAGUUUGUGAUUAAUGGAACCCUAUCUCCACUCCAACCUCCACUCAUUAACCAAUGAUCUCUACUGGUGCCUGUCACAUUUACAAAUAUGUGAGAGGCCUUAAUUUAAAUCUGGAACUAAGCUAGUGAUUUCAAUUACAAUAGUCUGACUCAUUCCGACAUUAUCAUUGGGUAAAAUAGCCUCAGUUUCCUUAUCUGUAAAAUGAAUUCAAUGUUGGCAACACUGGUCUUAAAGUAAAAUAACUUUAAGAAAAUUGCUGAAGGCUAUGGCGUAUGACUUAGUGUAUUAUUAUUUUAUAAUGGAGAGUUUUACCUACCAAAGAAAGGAGUUAUCAGCUGCCCGUUGCAUUGCUGGUAAUUUAUUAUUAAUGAUUUCUAAAAACUCUAACAUUGCAGGAAGCUUCAAGCAUCAUUACUGCAUUACAUUUUGCUUUUGUGUUAAUGGACAGCUAUUUUUCACUGUCAUUUUCAUGAGUAGAAAGAGAGCACAGAUGAACAAUUUUAACAAAUAUAGGACAAUAGAAGACAUAUUCCAGACUUCAGCAUUUAUUAAUAGAAUGAUCAAAUUCAGCCUUAUCAGAAUGGAGAACUUCCUGGUCACAGACAGUAAUCUAUAUACCUCCUUCUCACCAGUGCCCUCACCUCGUUAACCCACUCAGAGGCAAGGGUCAGGAAACACUGCACUUAGUACUUUUGUGCUUAAAAAAUUAAAGAAUCCAAAUUAUCACUUUUUGCUUUCUACAUAGUUGAGAAAAAAAAGUAAUGUUACAAUCUCAGACCAUGGAGGAACUUCUAUUCACUUCAACUGAACUUCUUUAUGGAUUAGAAUGAGGAAGCCCUUUGAUGUCACCAAAGAGGUCUUUUCCUUCUAGAAGGCUUUUAAAAAAUCAUGUUCCAGGGAGAGUUCUCUGUUUUUCAGACAAUUCUUGGAAGUAAAGACCUCCUUCUCCCCCACAAUCUGGAAUAAUCAACUGGGCUUGACAGCCCAGUUGCACAUACUACAGAAGCAAAACUAUCCUAACCCCCAAUGUUAAAAAAUGGAAGCAAUUCUUUUCUAUUGAAGUCACAAGUCCCCAUUCUACAUCUUCAGCUUGUAUUCUCUCCCGAUUCCUAAUAUACCAUUCAUAGUAAAAAUGCAUGUGCCUAAGGAUGGUUCUGUCUGAAGAUGCUAUCAGUCAGCAGAAACAAAGACAUUGGGGGUCUCGUUUUAUCUUCUUGUUGCAGGUAGUUAGACAUAGACAUGAGGGAGGCAAGACAGGGCUUUUCUCUGCCACCCACUAGGAAUGUCAGGUGAUGGUUCAACAAUUAUCAUACUGCCUCUCUAAAAAAUGUGGCCAGAGCCGGGGAGAGACAGUCUCCAGCUGAUCCACAGCUGUUAACAUUAAAGUGUUCAUUGAAUGCCGAUGUCAGGGAGAAGCAACUUCCUGGGCAUACGCAUUAAGAGACAAAAUGGUAGAAUAUGACCUUCUGGGGGCACUCCACUAGAAAAGGGAAGAAAGCCUCAGAUGGCCAUGCAUACAACUUCCUAAACACCCUGUGUGUGCUCACUUCCCAAGGGUAAGGAGGGUACUACACAUGUGGGCAGCUCACCUCAAGAGAAAAAUCACGGGAAAGGGAUGCAAGAUGGCAGCCUAUAAAGUCCUAGGAUCAUGGUUAAACACCACACUUGUUGUUCACCCACAAUCUGGAAUAAUCUAAGUCUUGUUCUUCACAUCACCCACUUCACGUUCUUCCAAGUGUUCUUUCCUUUUCUAAAGCCUUGUUUUUUGUUUGUUUGUUUGUUUGUUUGUUUGUUGCUUUUUUGUGGGUUUUUUUUUUUUUGACAAGAGUUUCACUCUUUUGCCCAGGCUGGAGUCCAGUGACUCAAUCUCAGCUCACUGCAACCUCCGCCUCCCAGGUUCAAGCAAUUCUCCUGCCUCAGCCUCCCGAGUAGCUGGGAUUACAGAGGCCUGCCACACUCCUGGCUAAUUUUUGUAUUUUUAGCAGAGAUGGUGUUUCACCAUGUUGGCCAGGCUGGUCUCAAACUCCUGACCUUGUGAUCCACCCACCUCGGCCUCCCACAGUGCUGAGAUUACAGGCGUAAGCCACCACACCCGGCCCUAAAGCCUUGUUAAUAAACUUCCACUCCUGCUCUGAAACUUGCCUUGGUCUCUUUUUCUGCUUUAUGCCCCUCAGUCAAAUUCUUUCUUCUGAGGAGGCAAGAAUUGAGGUUGUUGCAGACCCGUAUGGAUUUGCCACCAGUAACUCAUAUACCUGCCGCCAGUAACAAUCUCUUCUUCUCCAUGCUGCCCUUUGGUUAACUGAUGCUGUAAGAACAAAUUAACAAGUUUGAAUGGUUUAUUUUCAAAAGGAUGAAGAAUGCCAAGAUAACAGCUCUCUGCAAACAUGUUACAAUUAGCAGAUGUAAAAGGUGGAGGAAGGAGAUACUUAGCAAGAUGUAUACAUUCAUUCAUUAUUUACAUAGCUUAUUUAUAUAGCUUAGAGAUAAUGAAUUGCAUAUUUUGUUUUGAUAUCUUCUGACUUCAUUGAGUUUUCCUUUAUACAGUCCAAACAUGUGCAAAAAAUAUUUUUUCAUCCAAUUACAGAUGGUAGUGUAUUUUUUUUUUUCCCAAUCAGCAGGGAUCUUAAUUGUGUAGUAACAGUCAGCAGGAACAAGGACAUCAGGGGUUUGUUUUUGUCUCCUCUUAUUUUUCAUGCCUGCCCUGUUGUUUAGCUUUAGGUUAUCUGAUGCCAAGAAACAGCUCUAGAUGCAUCAUAUUUUCCAUCCAUUAGUCAAUGCUAAUCCAAAGAAGUGUUUCGUAUACUGAGACAUGGACAGGGAAGGUCUCUUGCCUUCAGUUACAAAACAAGUCAUUGUUUAUACUUGGAAUCUGUUCUAGACGAAUUAAAGGACAAAAGAGAAUGCACUAUCCAUUAAACAUCAUGACAACUUGACUAUAAAAACUCACAAUUUGUUCAGAGUCAGUAAAUGGAUAUUGUGAUAUCUGUUAUGUGUAUUAUGGUCUAGUGAAGUAUUUCCAAAAGGGUGUUUCAUAGAAGAGAAGUCCCUGGGGAUGCUUGAGAGAAAGGAUUCUAGGUUUCAGUAAGUUGAGGAGUGUUUUAUACUAGAUCUCCCUCUUUGAGACUCAUAAUGUAUAUUAGAAUUUUAUAACUCUGACUGUUAAAAAACAAAACAAACAAAAAUUGUUAUAGUUGUGUAACCCAGCAUUUAAAAAUACAUUAUCCUGGAUUUUUUUGAAUAAUACCUAUUAACAUCUGAAAGCAGCAAGUGAAACAAGUGAUCUAUAAAUUAUAGUUUGGAAAUAGAUAGGUAUUUUUAAUCAAAAGAUGAAGUUUCCAGGCCCAGCGCGGUGGCUCAUGCCUAUAAUCCCAGCACUUUGGGAGGCCGAGGUGGGCAGAUCACCUGAGGUCGGGAGUUCAAGACCAGCCUGACCAACAUGGAGAAACCCCAUCUCUACUACAAAUACAAAAAUCAGCCGGGCGUGGUGGCACAUGCCUGUAGUCCCAGCUACUAGGGAGGCUGAGGCAGGAGAAUUGCUUGAACCUGGGAGGCAGAGGUUGCAGUGAGCCGAGAUUGCACCAUUGCACUCCAGCCUGGGCAACAAGAGCGAAACUCCGUCUCAAAAAAAAAAAAAAAAAAAAUGAAGUUUCCAAUCUGAGGUCUGCUACUGAUUAGUAGAGCAGCACAAUCCACCAUCAUAUCAUACAAUACUCCACUAUGUAUCAAUAAUUCUUUCUUUUAAAUGAAAAUAACAAUACAAGCAAAAAUUUGUUAAGUUCGUUCUUAUGAUGUGUCAGGCACUAUACUAAGUGCUUCAUAUGCCUUAUAACUUAUAAUCUCUUAAACUUGUUUAUUUUUAAAUAAACUCAAGUAGUACAGGAAUACAUUUUCAUUUUAAAAAGUUAAAAAAAGGUAUAAAUAAAAUUUCUUUACAUUUAGUCUGUAAGCAUCUGGAUCUUUUUCUGUGCAUUUAAAUAAAAACGUGUCUUUGCAAAAGAACAUAUGUUUCUCAUUUUUUAAAACAUAAACCAUAAACAGAGUCAUGUUAUGUAUAUUGUUGUGCAACUAGCUCUUUGCAUUUAAAAGUAUAUGUUAAACAUAUUUUUAUGCCAGUACCUGUACAUCGACCACAUUCCUUUUCAUGAUUUCAUGACAUUUUAUAUGUACAUCUCAUACAUGUAUACGUAC
rnacentral:lncRNA from 1 species